GUGCCAGCAGCCGCGGUAAUACGUAGGGGCCGAGCGUUGUCCGGAGUUAUUGGGCGUAAAGCGCGCGCAGGCGGCUUGGCGCGCCCGACGUGAAAGCCCCCGGCUUAACCGGGGAGGGUCGUCGGGUACGGCCAGGCUUGAGGGCGGGAGAGGGUGGUGGAAUUCCCGGUGUAGUGGUGAAAUGCGUAGAGAUCGGGAGGAACACCUGUGGCGAAGGCGGCCACCUGGGCCGACCCUGACGCUGAGGCGCGAAGGCGUGGGGAGCGAACGGGAUUAGAAACCCCGGUAGUCC
rnacentral:rRNA from 1 species